CGCAGCGGUUGGGAACACAGACAUUUUCGGAGCUGGAGCCGCCACUGCCGCCGCCAUUUUGUGUCUGUGGAGAAAGAAGCCCCGGCGGCGGCUGGAAGUAGACGGAGAUUCCCCGUGAGGCUGCGGCGUUUCUUCCCCGAGGUUCCCCCUGGGUCGUCCCCCAUCCCCCCUCCGCGGUCAGCAUGUGGUGAAGCCGCAGCCGCCGGAGACCCGGGGAGCGAGGCCGAGGCGUCGGAAGGGAGGCGGGGUGUCGAGCGGCUUCAGCUUCGGCGGCGGCGGACCUCGGAGGGGGGCCGCGGCGCAAUGUCAGAGCAGACGCCCGCCGAGGCCGGGGCUGCGGGGGCCCGGGAGGACGCCUGUCGGGAUUAUCAGUCGUCGCUGGAAGACCUGACCUUCAAUAGCAAACCGCACAUCAAUAUGCUGACCAUUCUAGCCGAGGAGAACCUGCCCUUCGCCAAGGAGAUCGUCUCUCUCAUCGAGGCCCAAACCGCCAAGGUUUUUAUACACCCCGCAGCCUCCUAUUCUUCUAAUACUCCUUGAUUUUAGUGUCAGCCUCAUCCCAGGUCUCGCUUCCAUCCGAAGGGGGACGGAGUUCCUCCUUUCCAACCCCCCACCCCCGACUCGGGCUUGGUCUUUGGCCCCGGCUGGGAGCGUGGGCCUCUUUCGGGGAGGGAGCGGGGAGGAUGCAGGGUGGAGCCCCAUUUCCGCUUACCAACUCCCUAUUUAGGCCACCUCUGAGUACGUCCCCACGCUCGCACGCAUUGGGUUCAACCCUUUUCGGAUGGGGGAAUACUUAGAGACAGUUUGUGUUUUGGGAGCGAAAGAGUUAAAAACAAACCAUCUUAAGCCCUUGGGAAGGUGGGGAGGGGCUUUCCCUCAGUGUCCUUUUUGGGGAAUUGUGCUCUGUGGAUUGGAAGGAGGUGAAGGGGGACCUGGGAGCGAGCUGUCGGUGGGUUGGGUAUAGGGAAUUGGCCCCGAGUGGAGCAGCGGCCUGUUAGCUCAACAUGGCGCCUGCAAAGCACAUGAUGCGAAAGGGAAGAGAGGAGAAACCGUUCCCUGCCAGCCAGGCAGCUGCUCGCACCCGUCAACCCCAUUUUGGGGUGGGGGCUGUUAGAUCAAACUUUUAUUCUCCUCUCGGAGGGUCUAAUUUUGCCCCAGUGGUAGGGAAAUUGGGCCGAGGGUGGGGUUUGGGCGUGUGGGGGGAGAUCUUAUCCAACCUGUAGGUGGAGAAUUGGCCCAGUGGGUAACAAAUACUUGGAGUUUCUUUGAAAAUUUCAGUCCCUCCUUUCCUAUUCUCUUUUUCUCCCUCCCCUGAUAGUGAAGGCUUGCUUUUCUUCACCCCUUGACCGAAGUGGUCCUUUGCUACCUUCUGUUUUCCCUCUGGUCUUCCUUUUCUGUGGAUUCAUGUGGGAGCGAUAUGUCAUUUAAGUAAAGUUACUGUUAAACUUAGUUAUAUUGAGUCUUAACCGCUUCCCAAUUAAUACGUUUUAAGUUACUUUUCAAGCUUGUACUUAAGGUUUAGUUUUUUUUUUCUCUAGUUGUUAGUGAUUGCAAUUAUCAGGAUGAGCCUCCUUUUAGCAGAGUGAACCCCUUUUAAAAGGCCACUUUUAACAACAACCACCAAUAUAUUGUUUAGAGACGGUUUCUGUCUAGUGUACAACUGAGUGGUCUGACUCUAAUAAAUGGUUUUGAAAUGUGUGACUGGUAUUAUAAAAUUUGUGAAUAAAACAUAUAAAAUAUG
rnacentral:lncRNA from 1 species